rnacentral:lncRNA from 1 species
UGAGCUUUGAUCAGAAUAACCAUCUUGGCUACAUUUCUUUCUCUCGCCACCUAGCCCCUCUUCUCUUCCAGGUUUCCAAAAUGCCUUUCCAGGCUAGAACCCAGGUUGUGGUCUGCUGGCCGGAUACAACAAUUGGCGAACCAACGCGGGACUGAGAAACGGCAAAGGAUUUUUGGAAGAGACGCUGCUGGUUUGGAGCUCCAUAAAAUAAAGGAUAAAGGAAAUUCAUACCGAAGAAGGUAUGGGCUAAGCUGAGACAGCGUUAAACCCGAGCGCUGGUUCACUUAGGUUCAGCAGUGAGGAGCUGGGUAACAGGCGGUAGGCCGUAGCUCUCUGAAGCUACAUGAGGCAUGAGAAAAGAAAGGGUUUAUUAAAAGGAAUAGGCGGAUUGCCCCAGUUAAUAAAAAAUGCAUCAUAAGGGAGGAAAAUGUCCCAAAAAGCAGAGAGAAAUUUCUCUCUGGGCCUUAUAGCAGGAGUACUCUGUUCCCUUUUGUGUCUUGUCUAAUGUCCGGUGCACCAAUCUGUUCUCGUGUUCGAUUCAUGUAUGUUCGUGUCCAGUCUGUAUGAAUGAAUGUUCUAUGUUUUAUGUUGGAUAAUAAAGAUUGUAUAAAAAACUUUAUCUGCAAAGCCGAGAGCUGCCACGUGUUUCAGCCAGGAAUCAGACACAUGGCGGGAGGGCCCCUGCUGGAAAAACUGUUCGUUUUAGGAAAUAAGGGCGAGUGCACAGCCUCUUAGUUCCAGAGUAAAAAAGCUAAUAAAUGGUUCAUGAUUAAUGUGUUUGACAAUGGUAAAGUGUUUUUUAUUCUAUGAUUGUAGCUACAAAACUUAAUAUUCUCUGAUUGGUCUAAAUAUAACUGCUUCAUUUGGUUCUUUUUUAUUGAAAAUGUGCUCUGCAUGUCUUCACAUUCAGCUCAUAAGUUGUUGGUUAAGAUUAAUAAUUGUUACACUGCUACAGAUGGCUAGUGUUAAAUUUGAUAACUCAAGUUUAGAGUCCUUCCGACACGUGGCAUAAAGCAGGCCAAGAGGCUGGGUCUCUAAAGAUAUUUCUAGUUUAGGUAAUAAUUAAUGUGGUUCGUAUCCUAAAUAGUAAAAUUUAAGAUAAGAUUUAAAGCAAUGUCUUUUUAUUAAAGCAUUAAAGCUUGCUUUAAUAGCUAUUCAUAGGUAUUAAUUGGCAUCCAAACUUCGUAAUAUGAUAGUAAUGCUUCUAAUAUUUAUUUUAAAGAUAAUAAAUUGUUUUAAACUUGGGUUUUGCUUUCCCAAGGUUGUAGGUAUUAUCCUAACCUUGAACAAAAAACUUAAAAAUUAUGGUUAAAACUGCCAUUGUUCCAUUGACUGCAGCUUGCAGUUUGAUUUCAAAUUUAAGAUCUUUAAUUCACCUGUAUACUGUAAUUAAGAUAAUUACAAGAGUAAUCAUCUUAUGAGAGCGCUCAUACAGCUCACUUCAUACAAAACUGUGACAAAGUUAUCUAGUUAUGUUUGUCUUUGUGAAUAAAUUAGACAAACAGUUUGGCUAUAGUUGCUGCCUGGCAGGAAACUGCAGUACGGGCAAUUUUUUCACAACACUAAAGUUGUGAAGAACGUUUUAACUGUAAGUCAUCUUAAGAAAGAGUAUCAAAAAUUAGAGGCGUAGAUGGUUAAAUUGUUCCUCUAAAAUCGGUCCUUAUUACAAGAGGGCCAAGAUGCUCAGAUUAAAAAGUAUUUUACUUUUGAGUCAAUACAUGGCUCUGGGCAGCCCCAGAGCAGCUUGUGGCCUUUCUUUUGUCUUGCAAACAGUGCCUGAGAAAGUUUUUUCCCUGUGUUCAAGAGAAUUUCUUUUUAACAGUGUUGCAGAUCUAUUCAGAUGUUUAAAAUAAUGCUUAAAUUCAAAGAGUUUUGCUUCUAGUGAACUGGUAAUCACUAGAAAACUUUGCCUCUAGGUAUGGCUAAUGUAACUUUACAUUAUGUAAGAAAAAUUUUUAUUGUUUCUGCUUCUAUACAAGAAGCCAAGAGUUUUAAUCUUUCAGUGUAUAUUGUUUCCUAAGUGAAAAGUAUUUUAUUAACUAAUGCUUCUUGAAGUUUACCUUUUUUCCCCCCCUCAGGCCAUCUUUUUCUUUUUUUAAAUUUUGUUAAUAAAAGGGAGGAAAUGUAGUCUCCCCUCCCCCAGCCUGAAACCUGCUUGCUCAGGGGUGGAGAUUCCUGCUCAUUUGUUCUGCCACGCCCACUGCUGGAACCUGUGGAGCCACACACGGGCACCUUUCUACUGGACCAGAGAUUAUUCGGCGGGAAUCGGGUCCCCUCCCACUUCCUUCAUAACUGAGUGUCGAAACAGUAAAAUUUGAGCUUUGAUCAGAA